UGGGGAAUCAUGGUCAAUGGGCGAAAGCCUGAACCUGCGACGCCGCGUGAGUGAUGAAGGUCGUAAGAUCGUAAAACUCUUUUCAGGGAUCUUAAAGCACAACUGUCAACAACAGUUGUGUGUGACUCUCCCUGGAAUAAGCCCCAGCCAACUACGUGCCAGCAGCUGCGGUACUCCGUAGGGGGCGAGCGUUAUGCGGAAUUACUGGGUGUAAAGGGUAUGUAGGCGGUUCCUCAAGUCGUGUGUAAAAGUCCAGAGCUCAA
rnacentral:rRNA from 1 species